rnacentral:tRNA from 1 species
CAGCGCAUAGCUUAAUAUAAAGCAUCUUGCUUACACCAAGAACACACUUGUUAAAUCCAAGUUGGGCUGA